rnacentral:lncRNA from 1 species
CCCCCCCCCCCUGCACUUUUUUUUGUUGUUGUUGUUGCUUUCCCACGCUGGCUGAAUGUGACUUGACCCCAUUUCAAAAAAGUUUGACAUAGUGCUUCAACAUUUCCGCAUUCCUCCGCGACUACAAAGGCUGCAGCCGCCUCCUUCUGCUUUCUGUCUCUGCUCUCUGUCUUCACACUCAAUGAAAUCCUUCACGUGCCUCUCCCGAAGCCUGCCAAGCACCGCAAGGGUCGCCACCAGCGCAGCGACAAGAGGCCGCACUGGGGACCACGACUCCUGCGUGUGCGCACACACGCAGAUGCGCCCACGUGCACACUGAUGGGCGCGCUCCGGGGUCCGGAGCUGCUCACCGCGGGCCCUGCAAGCUAUUUGGCAUAUGAAGGUCUUGACCUGAGAAAACCAUCUUGGAUAACCGUGGCAAGGAGAAGGAAAAAUGCAACACCUAGGAGAUUUCAGUAAACAGUAGAAUCAUGCCAACCUAAUCUGUGUUAAAAUGCUUGGAAUGUGGGAGCCGCUGAUGAUGCCUGUUGUCUGUGUGUCUGACUGAAUCCUUUCUUUACUCAGAGCAGCAAAGCAAAGCCUGGGAACCAGGCCAAAUGCCUGCCACUUACCUUAAAUUGAUCAGCCACUUUGAGAUUAAAACUCCUGAAAGCUGCCACACCGUGAAAACAAGGCCCCCUUCACAUUAAAGGCAAAUUGCGACUUUGAGUUUGCUGUGAUCUUUUUUCCAUUUUAUCCAGUUUUUCACAGUGCACACUUUUUUUUUCCUUUCCAUUUAUGCUCCAAUGUAGAAGCCAAUAGUUACAGCAUCUUGGCCAAGCAUUCAUUAAGGUUUAUAAGACCAAAAUUUAUGGUUAUUUAGGAGUUGGC